rnacentral:rRNA from 1 species
GGUUAAGCGACUAAGCGUACACGGUGGAUGCCCUGGCAGUCAGAGGCGAUGAAGGACGUGCUAAUCUGCGAUAAGCGCCGGUAAGGUGAUAUGAACCGUUAUAACCGGCGAUUUCCGAAUGGGGAAACCCAGUGUGACUCGUCACACUAUCAUUAACUGAAUCCAUAGGUUAAUGAGGCGAACCGGGGGAACUGAAACAUCUAAGUACCCCGAGGAAAAGAAAUCAACCGAGAUUCCCCCAGUAGCGGCGAGCGAACGGGGAGGAGCCCAGAGCCUGAAUCAGCAUGUGUGUUAGUGGAAGCGUCUGGAAAGGCGCGCGAUACAGGGUGACAGCCCCGUACACAAAAGCGCAUGUGCUGUGAGCUCGAUGAGUAGGGCGGGACACGUGGUAUCCUGUCUGAAUAUGGGGGGACCAUCCUCCAAGGCUAAAUACUCCUGACUGACCGAUAG